rnacentral:tRNA from 1 species
UCUCUGGUAGCCUAGAGGGUAAAGCAUCUGUCUGCAAUGCAGGAGAUCCUGGUUCGAACCCUGGGUAGGGAA